rnacentral:rRNA from 1 species
AUCGAAGGUAAAGCGUGGAACUCGUGGGAGACUGCGGUGAUAAACCGGAGGAAGCGGGGAUGACGUCAAGUCCUCAUGGCCCCUACAUCCCGGGCUACACACGUGCUACAAUGGCAGGUACAGAGGGCUGCGAAGCCGCGAGGUGGAGCGAAUCCCAGAAAACCUGUCUCAGUCCGGAUUGAAGUCUGCAACUCGACUUCAUGAAGUUGGAAUCGCUAGUAAUCGCGGAUCAGCAUGCCGCGGUGAAUACGUUCCCGGGCCUU